UAGCUCUGUGGUAGAGCAGGUGCCUCACAUGCACAAGGGCCUGGGUUCAAUUCCCAG
rnacentral:tRNA from 1 species